rnacentral:lncRNA from 1 species
UUUAUUUACUUUUUUUAUAUUUACAUGAUUCUUUAUUUCAUUUUCAUUUUGAUAGUAAUAGUAUUUUUUAGAGAAUUCCAAAAUAAGAACAUUUAACAUUGGCGAAUUUAGUCGGUGUUCCAAGGAUUGAAGUCCCUACACUUUUUUUUACUAUGUGAAAUUCAAUGGUGUUCAGGGGGUUGGAAUGUUUACAGAUUUUUGCAUUAUUGCUUUUUCCAGAUUGACCUAUUUUAUCGCAGUAUUUCUAAAUACUCUGAAUAAUUCAUGUGUUUUGGCAGUGUUAUAUUGUUAUUAAGGAGUAAGUUUGAACUGGAC